GGCGAACGGGUGAGUAACACGUGGGUGAUCUGCCCUGCACUUCGGGAUAAGCCUGGGAAACUGGGUCUAAUACCGGAUAGGACGAUGGUUUGGAUGCCAUUGUGGAAAGUUUUUCGGUGUGGGAUGAGCUCGCGGCCUAUCAGCUUGUUGGUGGGGUAAUGGCCUACCAAGGCGUCGAGGGUAGCCGGCCUGAGAGGGUGUACGGCCACAUUGGGACUGAGAUACGGCCCAG
rnacentral:rRNA from 1 species